rnacentral:lncRNA from 1 species
AAUAAUAAACCAUUAUUUAAUUGAAUGGCAAUCGUUGUAGAACAAUGAGAAAUCAGAAAAUUUUAUUUUCUGAAAAAUAGGAAGUUAAUUACAUAGGUAUGUGACUAAAAUUAAUUAUCUAAAUUCUUCCAAAAAUCUGGAAGUCCUGAUUCUGUGAACGUAAUUCUAGACUUCCAGAUUUUGGGAAGAUUAAGAUACUCCACUGGUUUAUAUUAAAA